ACUAGAUGAUGAAAUUAUUGCAAGCAUUUGAGUUGAGAAGUGCAAAGCGGAUCCGCGAUCAAUUAUUAGAUAAUAAAAGAAUAUCAAGCAGUUAGUAUAAUGCAUAGUUCUACAGUGGAAAGCGACAAUGUGCCUAAAGAAGAGGAAGUGGAAAUUAUGACAGAAAAUCUACGUUAUAGAAAUAAUGACAGGGGAAUGCGGCCUAAAAAAGAAGACAAUUUCUUUGGUGUUAUGAUCGACUUUUUAAUCCUUUAUUUCCAUAUUCAAUAACUGAGGACCAUAGAAAGGCCUUGCAGCUCCAAAAAAAAC